GGGUCAGUAGGUUGGUCGUGCCACCGGUACGUACUGGUCUCACUGAUUCCUCCUUCCUGAAGAACCGUAAUGCCAUUAAUUUGGUGUUGCGGGGAAACAGGACUGUUACUUUGAAAAAAUUAGAGUGUUUAAAGCGAGCUAACGCUUGAAUACAUUAGCAUGGAAUAAUGAAAUAGGACGAUCGAUCCUAUUUUGUUGGUUUCUAGGAUUGACGUAAUGAUUAAUAGGGUGUUGGG
rnacentral:rRNA from 1 species